AUCGCUUCUCGGCCUUUUGGCUGAGAUCAAGUGUAGUAUCUGUUCUUAUCAGUUUAUCAGUUUCAUAGAGAUUCAUGUCAGUUGAAUAUUUGUCUUCAUGUUCUUCAUCAGGACCUCUGAUGGGCCAGAAUGUGGACUUAAGGGUAGAGCUAAGGUAGUGUCUUGCACCAGGUUCAGUCCCUGGUAUCACAU